CAGCCGCCACGGGAAUACAGAGGGUGCAAGCGUUAAUCGGAAUUAUUGGGCGUAAAGGGCGCGUAGGCGGUUUGGCAAGUUUGGUGUGAAAUCUUCGGGCUCAACUCGAAGUCUGCACCGAAAACUGCCGGGCUUGAGUAUGGGAGAGGUGAGUGGAAUUUCCGGUGUAGCGGUGAAAUGCGUAGAUAUCGGAAGGAACACCUGUGGCGAAAGCGGCUCACUGGACCAUUACUGACGCUGAGGCGCGAAAGCUAGGGGAGCAAACAGGAUUAGAUACCCCAGUAGUCCCUGUCUCUUAUAC
rnacentral:rRNA from 1 species